GAGUUUGAUCGUGGCUCAGGAUGAACGUUAGCGGCGUGCCUAACACAUGCAAGUCGAACGAACAGCCAGAAUCUUAGGAAUCUGGCGGGUUAGUGGCGCACGGGUGAGUAACACGUAGGUGACCUGCCCCGAAGUGGGGGACAACCACUGGAAACAGUGGCUAAUACCGCAUGUGCUUAGCCAUUCGGUUGGUUAAGUAAAGCUGAGGCGCUUCGGGAGGGCCUGCGGUCGAUUAGCUAGUUGGUGAGGUAAUGGCUCACCAAGGCGAUGAUCGAUAGGGGGCGUGAGAGCGUGACCCCCACACUGGGACGUGAGACACGGCCCGACGACUCCUACGGGAGGGCAGCAGUGAGGAAUAUUGCACAAUGGGCGGCAAGCCUGAUGCGAGCAACGCCGCGU
rnacentral:rRNA from 1 species